rnacentral:rRNA from 1 species
GAUGAACGCUGGCGGCGUGCCUAAUACAUGCAAGUCGAGCGAACAGACGAGGAGCUUGCUCCUCUGACGUUAGCGGCGGACGGGUGAGUAACACGUGGAUAACCUACCUAUAAGACUGGGAUAACUUCGGGAAACCGGAGCUAAUACCGGAUAAUAUAUUGAACCGCAUGGUUCAAUAGUGAAAGACGGUUUUGCUGUCACUUAUAGAUGGAUCCGCGCCGCAUUAGCUAGUUGGUAAGGUAACGGCUUACCAAGGCAACGAUGCGUAGCCGACCUGAGAGGGUGAUCGGCCACACUGGAACUGAGACACGGUCCAGACUCCUACGGGAGGCAGCAGUAGGGAAUCUUCCGCAAUGGGCGAAAGCUUGACGGAGCAACGCCGCGUGAGUGAUGAAGGUCUGCGGAUCAUAAACUCUGUUAUUAGGGAAGAACAAAUGUGUAAGUAACUAUGCACGUCUUGACGGUACCUAAUCAGAAAGCCACGGCUAACUACGUG